rnacentral:RNase_P_RNA from 1 species
GGAGUCGGCCGGACGGUCGCUGCUGCUUCGGCAGGGGAGGAAAGUCCGGGCUCCACAGGGCAGGGUGCCAGGUAACGCCUGGGCGGCGCGAGCCGACGGAAAGUGCAACAGAGAGCAGACCGCCGAACGGUCUUGUGUCGCCGCGAGGCGAGCAGGAUGCGUGGCAAGGGUGAAACGGUGCGGUAAGAGCGCACCGCGAGUCUGGCAACAGACCGGCACGGCAAACCCCACCCGGAGCAAGACCAAAUAGGUGUCCAUACGCGCGGCCCGCGCGGGACACGGGUAGGUUGCUUGAGCCCGUCGGCGACGGCGGGCCUAGAGGAAUGACCGUCCUCGACAGAACCCGGCUUACAGGCCGACUCCACCC